rnacentral:rRNA from 1 species
GUCGAACGGGCUCUUCGGAGCAAGUGGCGGACGGGUGAGUAACGCGUGAGAAUGUGCCUUGAGGAUGGGGAUAACAAUAGGAAACUAAUGCUAAGACCCAAUGUGCCUUAAGUGGUGAAAAAUGAAAAUUGCCUGAAGAGGAGCUCGCGUCUGAUUAGCUAGUUGGGGUGGUAAAAGCGCACCAAGGCGACGAUCAGUAGCUGGUCUGAGAGGAUGAGCAGCCACACUGGGACUGAGACACGGCCCAGACUCCUACGGGAGGCAGCAGUGGGGAAUUUUCCGCAAUGGGCGAAAGCCUGACGGAGCAAUACCGCGUGAGGGAGGAAGGCUCUUGGGUUGUAAACCUCAAAACUUAGGGAAGAAAAAAAUGACGGUACCUAAUUUAAGCAUCGGCUAACUCCGUG